AUCAAUAAGAUAUAAUUUUUAGUUGCAGAAUAAAGAAAUUUCCGCAGAAUCGGUGAAGGUUUUUGAUCGAAAUUCGUAGGCGCGCCGAAUAUGGAGAUAUGUCCUGAUCCAGGCAUCAAACAGUAGGUGGAGGCUGAUGACGUCAUAACUGAUAUGCCGAUUGGAUAGCGGUGUAAAAACUGGGCGCGUCUGCUGAAACUUCGCAACUGUAGCGUCCACUAAUACUCCUAGGAACAUGCUCGAGCACCACCGAAGUGGCGUUGGAGUCAACCUCACGUACAGUGAGGCCGCUCUGCGAGGAAAACUGCUUAAUUGGAGGGAUCUCUUUGGGAGUAUACCGAUCGUAAUAGCACUGCAGAGUGGCGUCAUCUCCUCGAACUACCGCCGAGGGAACGUUGAUACGGACAUCUCGAAGACCUCGCGUGCCUGAAAGUGAAAUAUUGACAUCGUUGACGUAUGGCAGAUCAAAAUUUAACGAGACUAAUUACAAAUGACUGAGCUUAACAAGGCACAUGUCAUGUGCCUUUACAAAUAUUAUUGAUGAGGGGCGAUCGUUGUCGGGUGUUUUGUUUUCUUUUAGACCUUCGGGGCUUUAAUUAAACCAUGAAAGGGAAGGGGAAUCUAACCAAAUAAAGAUCUACAUGCAUGAGCUGCGGUUAACAUUGUACAAAAUUUUGUACAGAUAAACUAAAGAAUGAUAAGUUUUUAACUUAAUCAAUUACAUAAUAAAAGUCUAACUUCGGGACUUUUCAUUUGCAAUUUAGUCAAUUUCCAGAUUUUUUUUCUGCAUGAAAUAGUAGUUUCUUGCCAGUAGGGUCCAGUUAGAACAGAGAUUGUUCUUUGCAACAAAAUGAAUUUUUCGUGACCUGUUUCACCUCAAAAAACAGUUGCAACAAAUCCACAUAAAUUAAUUUCAUUUAUUUUCCAUAAAGGUUUGUUUCAGCAUAAAUAAUAACUUAUUUAUCAGCAUAAAUAAUAACUUAUUUAUGCAGUGUA